ensembl:snRNA U6 U6 spliceosomal RNA
GUGCUCACUUUGGCAGCACAAACACUAAAAUUGGAACGAUACAGAGAAGAUUAGUAUGGCCCCUGUGCAAGGAUGACACGCAAAUUGGAGAACCAUUCCAUAUUUUU